AUUCGCCGACAGGGGACGCAGACCGCCCCGCAAGGGGAGUGGCAUACGGGUGAGUAACGCGUGGGAACAUACCCUUUCCUGCGGAACCCUCCGGGAAACUGGAAUUAAUACCGCAUACGCCCUACGGGGGAAAGAUUUAUCGGGGAAGGAUUGGCCCGCGUUGGAUCGCUAGUUGGUGGGGUAAAGGCCUACCAAGGCGACGAUCCAUAGCUGGUCUGAGAGGAUGAUCAGCCACAUUGGGACUGAGACGCGGCCCCCCCUCCUACGGGAGGCAACAGUGGGGAAUAUUGGACAAUGGGCGCAAGCCUGAUCCAGCCAUGCCCCGUGAGUGAUGAAGGCCUUAGGGUUGUAAAGCUCUUUCACCGGAGAAUAUAAUGACGACUUCCGGAGAAGAAGCCCCGGCUAACUUCCUGCCAGCAGCCUGGGUAAUACGAAGGGGGCUAGCGUUGUUCGGAAUUACUGGGCGUAAAGCGCACGUAGGAGGAUAUUUAAGUCAGGGGUGAAAUCCCAGAUCUCAACUCUGGAACUGCCUUUGAUACUGGGUAUCUUGAGUAUGGAAGAUCUAAGUGGAAUUCCCAGUGGAUAGGGGAAAUUCUGAAAUAUUCGGAAGAACACCAAUGGCGAAGGCGGCUUACUGAUCCAUUACUGACGCUGAGGUGCGAAAGCGUGGGGAGCAAACAGGAUUACAUACCCUGGUAGUCCACGACGUAAACGAUGAUUGUUAGCCGUCGUGGAUUAUACUGUUCUCUGGCGCAUCUAACAUAUUUAACAUUUCUUCUGGGGAGUACGGUCGCAUGAUUAAAACUCAUAGGAAUUCCCCGUGGCCCGCACCAACGGUGGAGCGUGUGUCUUAAUACGAAACAACGCGCAGAACCUUACCAGCUCUAGACAUUCUAGGUUUGUGCUACGCACACAUUGUUCUUCAGGUUUUACUGGCCCCACUGACCUGUGCUGCAUGGCUGUCGUCAGCUCACGUCGUGAGAUGUUCUGCUUAGUCCUCGCAAACGAUCGUGACCCUUCGCCCUAGUUGACAUCAUAUACUAGGCACUCUCCUGUGACUGCUGCCGACGAGCCGAGACGAGGUCUGGGAUGACGAUCAACGUCCUGCAUGCCCGC
rnacentral:rRNA from 1 species